AAGGAUCAUUAACGAGUUAGGGUCUCUCAGGCCCGACCUCCCAACCCUUUGUUUACUAGACCUCUGUUGCUUCGGCGGACCCGUCUCAAGCGGACCGCCGGAGGACCGCCCACCGCGUGCGUCCUCUGGCCAGUGUCCGCCGAUAGCCUCUUCAAACUCUGGAACAACCAUGAUUUUACUGUCUAAGUGAUUUUAUUCAAUUAAAAGCAAAAACUUUCAACAACGGAUCUCUUGGUUCUGGCAUCGAUGAAGAACGCAGCGAAAUGCGAUAAGUAAUGCGAAUUGCAGAAUUCCAGUGAGUCAUCGAAUCUUUGAACGCACAUUGCGCCCUUUGGUAUUCCGAAGGGCAUGCCUGUUCGAGCGUCAUUAUCACCCCCUCAAGCCCCGUGCUUGGUGUUGGACGGUUUGGUAGAGUACCUACCCCUCCUAAAGACAAUGACGGCGGCCUCGUGGAACCCCCGGUACAUUGAGCUUCUUAACUGAGCACGUAUCGGAUCAAGGGCGCCCGGGGCACGGUCUUCUCCCCCCUUUCGGGGAAAUUUUCUCAAGGUUGACCUCGGAUCAGGUAGGAAUACGCGCUGAACUUAA
rnacentral:rRNA from 1 species